GGGCCCUGACGGCGGCGUUGGAGGUGGCCGUGGCCAGCCGGCGACGCGGGAGGUGGCCGUGGCCCGGCAGCAGCGUGGGAGGUGGCCGGGGCCGGCGGCGGCGCGAGGUAGGGAGGGAGGCGGCGGUGGCGCGAUGCAGUUCCGGGAAGGUGCCAGAUGGGAUCGGGGGAGGUUAGGGGAGGGGUCGUGGCGAGCGGGACGGGUGUUUUUAUUCUUUUAUCGAUUGGGGGAUUUCAGGAAGGUCAGAUCGCCCCUAUAUAGGGCUAUAUAGAGGGAAAAUAGAUCCUACCACUAGGGGGUAACUACCUCCAUCCUUACUUCCGUCCGAUCUCAUCAGGUGCGCCCGUUGAUUAACGGGUUUCCUUUCUCAAAAUAGUCAGACUUUCUCUAUCCAAUAAAAAUAUCCACUGGCACCGUACCUAUCCGAUUUGUUUGCCAGAAUAUAUUAGUAGAUAAUAACAACCUCAGGUCAAACGAUAGCUAGCUAGCUUUCAAACCAUAACCGGACAUCAUGGUGUUAUGUUAUUCACCGUUCAAAGUUAUCAGAUCUCAUCCACGCAUACACACGUCAUGUUCCAUGGCAGCUCAUACGGGAGAUCAACAAGCGUGAUUCCCAUGAUCCAGAUGUGACGACGGGCGCAUGGCCGCCGGCAUGCACGACGACAAGCCGAACUUAGGUUUUGGGUCGCACGGUGGCUUCUUGGUCUGUCGAGCCGCCCAGGCGCACACAACACCACCUGAUGCGAUCUGCACCAGUGCAACUCGGAGUUACGAUUACGGCUCCACGCAUUGCUCUUGUGGUGCAUGUCUAGUUGAGGAGGACGAGGCAUGUACAGCCGGCGCUACACAGACGUAUUAUUGAUGAAUGGAUCAACUGAGGCACAUCGCUGGCGUCGUUCAUCAUGUUGUAUCUGCUACUGCCGACUGCGCACCCGAACCAAAACUAACAAGCUAUUAAGUCAAAGUCGUAGAUCUUUGUUGCCUGCAUACUUCCCUUUGAUGCAUGCAAGACACCAUGUCUCUACGAUGUGUAUAUAGUACAAAUAGAAUGCAUGAACUCAUAGGAUACCAUGUUUA